CCGACCAGACCUAUUCCUGAUCUUGCCCUUCGCCACCACCCCACUGCCCUUCCUCCUCACCGAAUUCGCCUCCUGUCUCCUCAGAGACAUGACAGUACAGACGCCGGCGGCUUCAUCUAUCUAAGGAAUUAAUUGUUGUGACUUGUGAGAGAGUUGCGAAGGAUAGGAAUAGGUAUUUUGAAUACGAAUGGGUGCGGAAGAAGAGGGGACUGUGGAGGUUAGGAAGAAAGACAAGAAGGAGUCUAAGAAAGGGAAGAAGAAUGAGGUUGCUGAUAUCCAUAUUUGCAAGGGUGAUGGUGGAGGCAAAGAUUCGGGUAAAAGUGCUGAAAAAGACAUGAAAAAGUCUAAGAAAGGGAAGAAAAAUGAGGUUAGGAUAACGAAAUUUAUGAGGGUAAUGGUGGAGGUAAAGAUAAGGUAAUUGAGAGUUGUAAAAGUGCUGAUAAAGAAUGUGGCAAAGGUGGAAAUUUUGAGAAGAAGAAAAAAGAGGAGGAGAAAUAUGAAGUUAGUGAAAGCAGUAAUGAAGGUAAUGGUAGGAGGGAGAGAGGAAAUGAUACGAAGAAAGAUUUUGAGCAUAGUAGGGAAGGAACGAUGGUGUGGAUGUACUGAAGAAGGUCGAAAAGAAGAAGAGAAAGAGAGAGAAGGAUAAGAGAAUUGGCUCUGACGACCAAUUGAAACAGGAAGAACUUGAGGAUGCUAAGCAUGGAAGUCAGUUGAGCAUGAAUGGGACAUGCUCUGAAGCAAUACGAGGGCUAGAGAGGGGGAUGGUGUGGUGAAGGUUGAAAAGAAGAAAAAGAAGAAAUUAAUUAGUGUUCAUUCUGGUGGUUUGCAGCAGGGAAACACUAGUUCGAACGAAACUGAAGCUCAGGAGAACAAGGAUCAAAGUGGAGAAGAAGCUAAACUUGAAGCAAUUGAUGAAGACUGUGAAACGGAAAACGUUGAGGAGCAAAAGAAGAAGAAGAAGAA